rnacentral:lncRNA from 1 species
UCACUCUCAAAAAUCCUGCAACUUGGGGCCUCUGCAUGGCAGGGAGGGCUGGAGACUUGGCCUCUCUGUGAAGCAGCCGCUGGCAGCACCUCUUCCAGUGAAUACUGCCAUGUGUGUCCCAGGGCAGGGCCCUGGAGAGCACCAGGACCUUGGUGUGCAGGAGACACUGAGGGGGAGAGGUUACAGCUUCUGUUCCUACAAACCUCUCACGGAAUGUGACUGAAGUCUCAGAGCAGUGUCAUGGACUUGAAGUCACAUC